GGAUUCCCCUAGUAACUGCGAGUGAAGCGGGAAGAGCUCAAAUUUAAAAUCUGGCGUGCCUCUGGUCGUCCGAGUUGUAGUCUAGAGAAGUGUUUUCCGUGUUGGACCGUGUAUAAGUCCCUUGGAACAGGGCGUCGUAGAGGGUGAGAAUCCCGUCUUUGACACGGACUACCAAUGCUUUGUGAUGCGCUCUCAAAGAGUCGAGUUGUUUGGGAAUGCAGCUCAAAAUGGGUGGUAAAUUCCAUCUAAAGCUAAAUAUAGGCGAGAGACCGAUAGCGAACAAGUACCGUGAGGGAAAGAUGAAAAGCACUUUGGAAAGAGAGUUAAACAGUACGUGAAAUUGCUGAAAGGGAAACGCUUGAAGUCAGUCACGUCUGCCAGGACUCAGCCUCGCUUCUGCUUGGUGUACUUUCUGGUUGGAUGGGCCAACAUCAAUUUUGACCGUUGGAGAAAGGCUUUGGGAAUGUGGCACCUUUGGGUGUGUUAUAGCCCUUUGUUGUAUACAACGGUUGGGAUUGAGGACUGCAGCACGCCUUCAUGGCCGGGGUUUGCGCCCACGUACGUGCUUAGGAUGUUGGCAUAAUGGCUUUAAGCGACCCGUCUUGAAACACGGACCAAGGAGUCUAACAUGCCUGCGAGUGUUUGGGUGGAAAACCCAUGCGCGUAAUGAAAGUGAUAGCUGAGAUCCUCUCAUCAGGAGCAUCAGCGCCUGGACUUGAUCUACGGAGACGGUUCUACGGUAGAGCAUGUAUGUUGGGACCCGAAAGAUGGUGAACUAUGCCUGAAUAGGGUGAAGCCAGAGGAAACUCUGGUGGAGGCUCGUAGCGAUUCUGACGU
rnacentral:rRNA from 1 species